ACGCCCCCUUCCCCGCCCACUCCUAGAGCUCUCUCCUCCUUUCACCACCACCGUAUCCUCACCCACAUCGCCGAUAGCCAGCUCCGCCGCCAGCCAGUCAGAUCCGGCUUUGUCGCCACCACCAUCUAUUCCAGGUAUGUCUUUUUAAUUGCUUGGGUUCUAGUUUAGGGUUCUUCAAGACACAUUUAGUUUUUUGCUUCUUUGGUAAGUUUCUCACUGAUUUGGUUUUAUGGGUUAGUGUAUUUGGUUGAUUAUAGCUGGUAAGUUCCUUGUGCUUCCAAUUUCAGGUAUCUGUACUCCUAAUUUUUGGUAUGUUUCCUGUGUUUCUUUACUCCUUCCUCCGUCUUUUGCAUCUUUUUUUUUCUUCUUCCAAUUCAUGAUUUUUUUGGGGAGAAUAUAGUAAUAGGAAGAUUAUGGAUGUAAAAGUUUUCUCUUUAACAGUGGAAACUUUUAAAGAAGAUGGAGAUUCUGUCUUUUGCUCAAACUUCAGGAAACCUGUGUCAUCUUAAUUAAGGACUCUUAAAGAAAGAAGAAAUCAAAAGAGAAUCAGCACCUGGAACAAUAGAAAGAAGUCGUGCUUCUUAAAUUUCUUUCCUUCGAGAAAAGGGAAGUGGAUUGUUUGACAUGCUGAAGUGUAAGAAUGGUAGCUGUAUUUUGAAACAACCCAGCAGAUACAUGCAAUAGCAAAUGAUCGGAAGCAGAGAAUGACUCUUUCUAAACUGACUACCGGCAGAAAACAAGGAGGAAAUUAAGAAGUUUAGCUAGAUUACCAUAAAGGUGGACGACAAACAUAUAUUUGCUCGCAACUUGUUCUGGUAUGCUGCUGUAUUUGGAUUGGAACUAUAACAGCUAUAAGCCGGGCUGCAAUAACAGAUGAGCUUCUUGUCCUUGACCCACAGGGAGCAAUGUCACUUGUUGUCCAACAUACACACUAUAUGCCAAAGAGAUGGCGAGGGAAAGAAAACACUGAGGCCAUACGAAAUGAGUUUGAAACUUUAUUUCAGGUAUGCAUGUUUAGUUGCGGAGGCCUCAAGUGACACAUCUGAGGUAGAACAAAAUCUUGUAGGAGUCAUUGAUGCUACAGUGUAUAGAGAUAAUGAUGUUCUUCAGUACCUUCCUGGAGCAGCCGAAUAUAUCUAUAUUUCUGAGAUCGUUGUAUUGAACAAAUUCAGGUACAACAUUCAAUACUUCUCCUCCAAUUAAUACAUCAAAGAGGCAGAAAGUUGCAACUGCUUUGCUCAAGGCCUGUGACGUGCUUGCAAGAUUUUGGGGGUUUUUGUGGAUUGUGUAAGUGUUUUGUGGAUGCUUGCGAGGGGUGAAGUAGUCUAAUACUCUAAUGUUGUAGACUAACUUAGUGUAGACUAAUUUAAUGUUUUGUGGAUGUUUACAAAUGUUGAAGUAGUUUAAUGUUGUUUUGAUGUUUGCAAAAGUUCAAGUAGCUUAAUGUCUCUUGUGAAUGUUUGAUUGAUGUUUUUAUUCAACUUUGAAGUAGUUUCGAAUUGAAUUUGAUAUAUUGGUGGUUGUAAUAUAUGUGUGUUGUAAUAGUAGCUUAAUGUUUUAUGUA